rnacentral:rRNA from 1 species
CCUACGGGUGGCUGCAGUGAGGGAUAUUGCACAAUGGGGGAAACCCUGAUGCAGCGACGCCGCGUGGGCGAUGACGGUCUUCGGAUUGUAAAGCCCUUUUCUAGGUGACGAGAACGGACGGUAGCCUAGGAAGAAGUCUCGGCUAACUACGUGCCAGCAGCCGCGGUAAAACGUAGGAGGCAAGCGUUAUCCGGAGUUACUGGGCGUAAAGGGCGUGUAGGCGGUUGGAUAAGUGGAUGGUGAAAGACCCGCGCUCAACGCGGGGAACGCCGUUC